GUUAUAUGGUCAAGUGAAGAAGCGCAUACGGUGGAUGCCUUGGCAGUCAGAGGCGAUGAAAGACGUGGUAGCCUGCGAAAAGCUUCGGGGAGUCGGCAAACAGACUGUGAUCCGGAGAUGUCUGAAUGGGGGAACCCAGCCAUCAUAAGAUGGUUAUCUUGUACUGAAUACAUAGGUGCAAGAGGCGAACCAGGGGAACUGAAACAUCUAAGUACCCUGAGGAAAAGAAAUCAACCGAGAUUCCCUUAGUAGUGGCGAGCGAACGGGGACCAGCCCUUAAGUUGUAUUGAGAUUAGCGGAACGUUCUGGAAAGGACGGCCAUAGUGGGUGAUAGCCCUGUACGCGAAAAUCCCUUUGCAAUGAAAUCGAGUAGGACGGGGCACGAGAAACCUUGUCUGAAUAUGGGGGGACCAUCCUCCAAGGCUAAAUACUACUGACUGACCGAUAGUGAACCAGUACCGUGAGGGAAAGGCGAAAAGAACCGCGGAGAGCGGAGUGAAAUAGAUCCUGAAACCGUAUGCGUACAAGCAGUGGGAGCCCACUUUGUUGGGUGACUGCGUACCUUUUGUAUAAUGGGUCAGCGACUUAUUUUCAGUGGCGAGCUUAACCGAAUAGGGGAGGCGUAGCGAAAGCGAGUCUUAAUAGGGCGUCUAGUCGCUGGGAAUAGACCCGAAACCGGGCGAUCUAUCCAUGGGCAGGUUGAAGGUUGGGUAACACUAACUGGAGGACCGAACCGACUACCGUUGAAAAGUUAGCGGAUGACCUGUGGAUCGGAGUGAAAGGCUAAUCAAGCUCGGAGAUAGCUGGUUCUCCUCGAAAGCUAUUUAGGUAGCGCCUCAUGUAUCACUGUAGGGGGUAGAGCACUGUUUCGGCUAGGGGGUCAUCCCGACUUACCAAACCGAUGCAAACUCCGAAUACCUACAAGUGCCGAGCAUGGGAGACACACGGCGGGUGCUAACGUCCGUCGUGAAAAGGGAAACAACCCAGACCGUCAGCUAAGGUCCCAAAGUCAUGGUUAAGUGGGAAACGAUGUGGGAAGGCUUAGACAGCUAGGAGGUUGGCUUAGAAGCAGCCACCCUUUAAAGAAAGCGUAAUAGCUCACUAGUCGAGUCGGCCUGCGCGGAAGAUGUAACGGGGCUCAAACCAUGCACCGAAGCUACGGGUAUCAUCUUAGGAUGAUGCGGUAGAGGAGCGUUCUGUAAGCCUGUGAAGGUGAGUUGAGAAGCUUGCUGGAGGUAUCAGAAGUGCGAAUGCUGACAUGAGUAACGACAAUGGGUGUGAAAAACACCCACGCCGAAAGACCAAGGUUUCCUGCGCAACGUUAAUCGACGCAGGGUUAGUCGGUCCCUAAGGCGAGGCUGAAAAGCGUAGUCGAUGGAAAACAGGUUAAUAUUCCUGUACUUCUGGUUAUUGCGAUGGAGGGACGGAGAAGGCUAGGCCAGCCUGGCGUUGGUUGUCCAGGUUUAAGGUGGUAGGCUGAGAUCUUAGGUAAAUCCGGGAUCUCAAGGCCGAGAGCUGAUGACGAGUGUUCUUUAGAACACGAAGUGGUUGAUGCCAUGCUUCCAAGAAAAGCUUCUAAGCUUCAGGUAACCAGGAACCGUACCCCAAACCGACACAGGUGGUUGGGUAGAGAAUACCAAGGCGCUUGAGAGAACUCGGGUGAAGGAACUAGGCAAAAUGGCACCGUAACUUCGGGAGAAGGUGCGCCGGUGAGGGUGAAGCAUUUACUGCGUAAGCCCACGCCGGUCGAAGAUACCAGGCCGCUGCGACUGUUUAUUAAAAACACAGCACUCUGCAAACACGAAAGUGGACGUAUAGGGUGUGACGCCUGCCCGGUGCCGGAAGGUUAAUUGAUGGGGUUAGCGCAAGCGAAGCUCUUGAUCGAAGCCCCGGUAAACGGCGGCCGUAACUAUAACGGUCCUAAGGUAGCGAAAUUCCUUGUCGGGUAAGUUCCGACCUGCACGAAUGGCGUAACGAUGGCGGCGCUGUCUCCACCCGAGACUCAGUGAAAUUGAAAUCGCUGUGAAGAUGCAGUGUAUCCGCGGCUAGACGGAAAGACCCCGUGAACCUUUACUAUAGCUUUGCACUGGACUUUGAAUUUGCUUGUGUAGGAUAGGUGGGAGGCUUUGAAACGUGGACGCCAGUCUGCGUGGAGCCAACCUUGAAAUACCACCCUGGCAACUUUGAGGUUCUAACUCAGGUCCGUUAUCCGGAUCGAGGACAGUGUAUGGUGGGUAGUUUGACUGGGGCGGUCUCCUCCUAAAGAGUAACGGAGGAGUACGAAGGUGCGCUCAGACCGGUCGGAAAUCGGUCGUAGAGUAUAAAGGCAAAAGCGCGCUUGACUGCGAGACAGACACGUCGAGCAGGUACGAAAGUAGGUCUUAGUGAUCCGGUGGUUCUGUAUGGAAGGGCCAUCGCUCAACGGAUAAAAGGUACUCCGGGGAUAACAGGCUGAUACCGCCCAAGAGUUCAUAUCGACGGCGGUGUUUGGCACCUCGAUGUCGGCUCAUCACAUCCUGGGGCUGAAGCCGGUCCCAAGGGUAUGGCUGUUCGCCAUUUAAAGUGGUACGCGAGCUGGGUUUAGAACGUCGUGAGACAGUUCGGUCCCUAUCUGCCGUGGACGUUUGAGAUUUGAGAGGGGCUGCUCCUAGUACGAGAGGACCGGAGUGGACGAACCUCUGGUGUUCCGGUUGUCACGCCAGUGGCAUUGCCGGGUAGCUAUGUUCGGAAAAGAUAACCGCUGAAAGCAUCUAAGCGGGAAACUUGCCUCAAGAUGAGAUCUCACUGGAACCUUGAGUUCCCUAAAGGGCCGUCGAAGACUACGACGUUGAUAGGUUGGGUGUGUAAGCGCUGUGAGGCGUUGAGCUAACCAAUACUAAUUGCCCGUGAGGCUUGACCAUAUAACACCCAAGCAAUU
rnacentral:rRNA from 1 species